rnacentral:tRNA from 1 species
GCUCGCGUGGCCAAAUGGUACGGCGUACCUCUCCUAAAGGUAAGAUUGUGGGUUCGAUCCCCACCGUGAGCU